rnacentral:rRNA from 1 species
AUCUUCCGCGAUGUACGCAAGUCUGACGGAGCGAUGCCGCGUGAGUGAUAAAGGUCUUCGGAACGUUAAACUCUGUUGUUAGGGAAGAACAAGUGUCGGAGUAAUAUGCCGGUACCUUGACGGUACCUAACCAGAAAUCCCCGGCUAACUACGUGCCAGCAGUCGCGGGUAUACGUAGGGGGCAAGCGUUGUCCGGAAAUAUUGGGCGUAAAAGUCACGCAGGCGGUUAUUGAAGUCUGAUGUGAAAUCUUGUGGCUUAACCACAAGCGGACAUUGGAAACUGGAUAACUUGAGUACAGAAGAGGAGAGUGGAAUUCCACGUGUAGCGGUGAAAUGCGUAGAGAUGUGGAGGAACACCAGUGGCGAAGGCGGCUCUCUGGUCUGUAACUGACGCUGAAGUGCGAAAGCGUGGGUAGCGAACA